rnacentral:tRNA from 1 species
GUCUCUAUAGCUCAGUUGGUAGAGUACGAAAUUUUUAAAUUCGUGGUCACAGGUUCAAGUCCUGUUAGAGACA